GCUAUUUUAUAUUUAUCUAUUUGACUAUUACAUUCCUCAAAAAUCGUGAAUUAUAUGAGGGAAUUGAAUAAAUGAAGCCUAUUGUCCAUUGAAUUGAUUCUAAUCCCAAAGUAUGGUCAACAUAUUCCGAAUUGAAUGUUAAAAAGAUUAUCCAGAGGACUCUAUCGAUUUUUGAGACAGCCUAAUAAUUAUCUUAGUAGACGGAAGAAGGAGAAGAUCAAGAUGGAUGUGACAAAGAGGAACUUUGACGAAGGACUUUUGAAUCAGAUCCGAGAAGAGCUGGACUCUUGUUCCUUCGUGUCCUUUGACUGCGAAUUUUCGGGGAUUCAUGCAGAGUCUAAUGUGUGCUCCUUGGACAGCCUUUCCGAGCGGUACGAAAAGACGAUUCGUCCCUCCAUCACUCAGUUCAUAGUCUUUCAGUUCGGACUCUCCAUUUUCAGUCCUGGCUCCAUUUCUGGGACGUUGAAGAAUCGUAGUUAUAACUUCCAUGUCUGGCAAGGGAGUUCUGUUCCCUCCAUGGAUGUUCGAUUUCUCUGUCAGUCCUCGAGCAUCGACUUCCUUGCCGGCCAAAACUUUGAUUUUAACAAAUUGUUCAAGGAGGGCAUUUCCUACAUUCGACUCUCGGACGCCUCCAGACUCAAACAAAACCUCAUUGAGAAGCAGAACACAAAGCUGGACUACCCCUCCUCCAUCGCUAUACCAGAGCAGCAGGAGGAUUUUUUGAAGGAUAUCCAUCAACGCAUUCAAAAGUACAUAUCCGAUGACAAAGAAGAAGAAGCUCCAUUGGAGCUUCCAAGCUGUAAUGGAUUUCAAAGGAAACUCAUCUAUCAGACAGUUCGAGAAACAUUCGGACAAGAAGUCUAUCUCGAAACAAACAAAAAGAGAAUGCUCUUAGUGAACAAAUUACGGUCGCGAGAAAAGAAUCAACAAUUGGAGUUGGAGGAAUUCGAUAAGAUCCUUGGUUUUAGUAAAAUUGUCCGUAUUAUAUCCGAAUCAAAGAAGCCCUUGGUUGGACAUAACAUGAUGUUAGAUCUCUGCUUCACAAUCAAUCAAUUUGUUGCUCCUCUUCCAGAGACCUACGAAGAAUUCAAAACCCUUGCUCACAAAAUGUUUCCUGAGGUAUAUGAUACCAAAGUUAUGGCAAACAUUGGCCCUGUCAAGGAACAUGUUCUAAAUUCCACGCUUGAAGAUUUGGUUGCCAAAUUGAAGGAGAGUCCUUUUAAAAUUCCGAAGCUGGAGUCCAAGGACGAUGCUUAUGCAGAGAGCGGUCUUUACCACGAGGCAGGGUUUGACGCUUACAUAACAGGACUAUGUUUCCUUGGUAUGAAGGACUAUUUGAUUAGGCAAAUGUCUUCCUCUGAAGAUAAGUCUAAAAUCGUGCUUCCUUAUUCGAAUAAGAUUGCUGUAAUGCGGAUCAAUGAUGUACCUUAUUUAAAUCUUGAUGGGGAUGAUAUUGUUCCGGAUCGUUCUCACGUGUUCUACGUUACAUUUCCAUCUUUGUGGAAAACUACGGACUUGAAUUCACUUUUUUCUUCCUUUGGGAAUGUUCAAAUCAGUUGGCUCAGUGACACAUCUGCUUAUGUGUCCCUCUACCAAAAGAAUCUAGCAGGCUCCGUCAUGGACUCUCUCAACUGCUCCUCCGUCUAUUCUUUAACUCCCUAUGACAAACACAAGAAUGGAAAUGUUCCCUCGUCGAUCACACCUCUUCUUGAAAAGUCAGAUAUUUUUAACACUUCAAACCUCUCAUCCCCCACCAAUAAUACAAAAAAGCGCGCAGUAUCCCCGAACGGAACACCAGACGCCUCUCUCAAACGAUCAAAAAGUAAGCCUGAAGCACCAUCCACUCUAAAUAUCUUCCCUGAAUCCUCCACUUGGGAUUAAAGACCUGUCAUUCUUCUAGAUUCCCUUACUUUCGCGUUUUACAUUUUGGGAAAAAGUUAUUUAUUUUUCUUUUAUAAUUAGCAUCAUUAAAUUUUUUUAGGAUCUUGUCCCCCCCAUUAUUAUUAUUAUCAUCAUAAUUAUAUCUAGUUAAUUGGAGGAAAACUUUUUCGUGCCAGUCAUGAAUAUUUGUAUGAUAUGAAAUGCAGUAUCAAUCAUUGUAUUAUGUAACGGAUGUGUUUAGUAUCAAAUACAAGGCAAAAGAACAUCUUUAGACACCAAGGUACACGGUUUUAUUUAGAGAAUUCCAGUUAAUAUUCAUGUUGAUUAAGUCGUUUCUAGAGUAGUAGUCUCUUCUCUCGAGUCAGUCGGUCCUCGUCAUGCGACUUGUCCUCUACAACUUUUGUGUGUCCUUUGCCCUCUUCUUAAUUAGUUUAUUGUAUUAUCAUUACUGCAAUGUCAAGGAUUAUAUCCAGAUACUUCAUUGUGGCAUUCCUAGACGAACAUUUCCUUUAGAUUUGAGAUAUAUCAUUGGUAAUUACACAGGGAAGGGUGGUACCAAGAAGCUAUCAAGAUAUGUGGAUGAAAUGAUUAAUUACAAGGACCUCUGGCCUCUCUAUAGCUUUGAAGAGAUCUUUCCCUAUCGCCGAUUUGAUGGUACAUAUGAUUUAAUUUACAUCAAAGGGAAAGAGGCAUGGCGAAUGAGUUGUCCCAUAAAGAGAUUGGACAUGAACCAAACGGAUUUCACUUGCUUUGACGUGACCGUCCCAGAUCCUGUGAAUAAAACACAUCUCACGGAGCGUCUAUAUACAGAAUUUAAUUGUACCAAGUAUAUUCAGGCGAGAAAGAACUUCAUUUCCAAGAGAAGAUGGACGGAGGUUCGACGAUGGGGAAUGACUUACAUUCACAGUCCAAUUGAGGGAGUUAAAGGUGAAGAGGAUCUCUUGGACGAACAAGAAGCGGGACCUUACUCUAACUGUAUGCCGGACUGGGAUAUUGGCGACAUUCUUUAUUUCUGGAUGCCGGACUUUCAUAUAGAAUUCCUAUUUAACAUUGGUUGAAAUGGGACUUUUUGUGUCGUUUAUUCAAUUUAAAAUAUUUUAUAUAUAUAUACGAUUACAUUAAGAGGUUUAAUGUAUAAGUAUAAUAAAUAACUGAGCACAGGUAGAAACACGAUGUAUAUUGUUGGAAUAUUCCUUGUUACUAACUCAAACGUCCUUCAUGAUUGAUGAUUACAAUAAAAGAUUUAAAUAA
rnacentral:misc_RNA from 1 species